rnacentral:lncRNA from 1 species
CGCCAAUGGAUUUUUUUACUCAUUCUAUCUCAUUAACAUCUAUACUCAUCUAAAAGUACUUCAAACUAAAAACUAAUAUAACAUCUAUACUCAUCAAAAUCCUUCAAACUAAAAGCUAAUAAGAGCUCACACAUACUUACAUACUUGCAUAUAGAUAUAUACAUAUUCAAAUAGAAACUAAAGAGAAAACCCAUAUCACCCGUGCUUUAUGUGUCAUCACCGACCAGGGAUCCAGACCCCUUCCACUAAAUCCAUUCUGGGUCCACUGAAGCUCUUAGACUCCCAACAUGUCUCAGACAUGCUCCAUCCACGUCCAAGAGACCAAACUAGACCUCACCCCGGUAUCGCUAGACCCAUCCCGCCCUUACUAGAUCCCAUCAAGACCCACCUCAGUUACUAAUAUGAAAGUCAUUCAAACUCAAAACAAAUAAGAGCUCACACAUACUUUGCAUGUAGAAAUCUCAUCUCUGACUGUGAAACCUGACUCAACUUCAUAAUCACAUUAGUACAUUACACCUAUAAUAUUUAAAUGAAUCAUCAGAGUAAUCCGAAAUGACAAUUUAUAAAUAGAGAAAUAGUUGUCGUGCAAGGAAGAAAAUAUAUAAAAGAUUCAUUUAUCACAUCAAAGUAGAGCCAUUUACACCUCUUUGACAAGUGUAACGCAAAUUUUCUCCUUACUAUAAACCUUUAAAUUGCACUUCACAAAUCUAACUAGUUAUUGAAGCUCAUCAACCUAACAUACUUGUAUGUAUACCACUAGCUGAAACAAAAUAUUCUCAUCAAGUAUAAUGUAGCUUGUUUAAUAACAUUUCAUGAUUUCAAUUAAAAAAAACAACCGAUAUUCCAAAAUUAUGUUCAGAAUAUGACGAUAUGAGGUACUAUUAGGAAUAUACUUUGGAGUAUCGAUUUUAUAUUUGGUCAGACUAAAUUUUUAUGUUCAAAUAAAAUUUUCUUGUAUCAGCACAUUAAGAAAUGAGAUGAGCCGAGUGCGUCAUACAUAUUCACUAUUAAUUUUGUUCGUACUAAUAUUCCGGUUAGUAAGUAGUGAUUUAGUAUAAGUUUUUACAGUUUUACUACACACAUUUCUAAUUAUCUUAAAAUUAUAUCUAUAUAUUCUGAAAAACAGGUCCAUAGGUAGGCGUAUUUUUGAUAAAUACCUAUGUAUAUGUACCAUUAUAUAUACUCAAAUAUGCAUGUGUAUAUGUUUGUUAACAAAAAACAGUACAUAAUUACUUAAAUUCCUCAAAAGCCUGAAACCAUAUCGUAUUAUAUAUUAGUCAAAUAACUUGUGCAUUUAUUUUCCAAAGAUGUAAAGUGUAAACAACCUUUAAUUGUAUCAGAGUAUAAAAAGAGAGAGUUUAAAUUACAUCAGCACUUCAACUAGGUGUCUGUUAGAUUCCAUAUCUUUGAAGACAGGUGUAGGUGCUGUUGCUGUAGCUACCACCACUAACAGGUAAUAUAAGGACCAAGUUAGAUCAAUAGCAAGUAGGCUAAGAAAUAUGUAAUAUCCUGCAUAAAUGAUAAACUCAAAAACUAAGGUUUUGCUGAAAGAUUGCUAAAGCUGCCUGGCUACUUAAAGAAAGACAAUUACUGAUAAAACACUAAAAUAUAUACCAAAAAAAUUAAACAAACGUAGAUAGAAUAGAUUUUAUCAACUAAGUGAUACAUUUACCAAAUAGCUUAAUAUUUUGUUCAAAUAUGCUUGUCUUGUUUCACAAUAAUCUACUAAUGAGAAAAACACAUAAUCGAAUCAAUAUAUGGUACUUUAUAUUUGCAAAACAAUUAGAGCACACACUAAUUAGAAGGUAUUUUUAGUACUAACUUUCAUUGGAUAGUAAAAAUGAAGUAAUAAGGGUUUGAAAGAAAGAAUUAGCAAAUCUGCGUCAAUUUUGCAGUAAUUAAAAGAUCACAGAACAAAUGGGAGACUGAUUACGAGGCCAUUCAGAUUUUUUUUAUAGAAAAAAUGGGUAUGAAGUUCCUGAACUUUUGUUUUGGAAUAUCAGUGGCUCGUAUGCCACACUGGUGAUAGCAAAACAAACUGGAGUAGCUAUGCUUAGUGGAUUUUCGAAGAAUGUAUUCACUAUGUUUGGAUCAUGAUGGGGAAAUCAAUCUUAAGAUUGCAAUGGAACGUGCACUUUCUGGUAAAGAGUAUGCACGCUCUGUUAAGGGGUCAAGGAAUUUGUGAAAAUUAGGAGAAAAACCACGAUCAAACAUGGCAUCCGAAUUGUCCAAAACCUACAUGAAAAUGGACAAGCAUAUAGCAAGUUUUUUUAACAAAUACAGUCAAGUUGCUGCAGUAAGCUCAAUUAGUGUAGCUCAAGUAGGGUGCCAGAAGAAGUGUUUUUCAUACAAGCUGGUAUUUCAUUCAUUUUGUGGCAUGAGAUAAUCCAGACCUUGAGUGGGAUUCAAUGUGACUUUAGAUAACAUUUCUUUAGAUUUGUAUAAAAUGCAGCUAAAGUCUUCAAAGUUUUGUGACAUUGUAGAAGUGUAAAUAAUAAUUAAAAAGAUCAUGGCUUGCACAUAUAUGAAUAUAAAAAGAGUAAUCGAUCCAGUACCAAAGAUUGCAGCAGCCCAGAAAGUAAAAAAUCAAUAUAUUACCAAAAGCAUCUCCCUGUAUUGCUGAACUUUUUGCAUUUUAAGCUCUAAUCAGGACACCAAAGGACUGACUUUAAUGUUUGUAAGAUUGUAACAGAACCUUAAUGCGUACCUUUUAAUCCUUUUGAUCGAUGAUUAUCAUAUCAAUGCUCAUGAAGUUGUUGUACUUUGUGUUGACAGACUCCAUGCGACAGAGGAACCUGACCAACCAGUUUUCCAUAUGGUAAUCCAUGUCAGAAAGGUGAAUGCCAUAGUGGCACCAGUUGGUGCCCAAAUACAAAAAUCAAUAUAAUUGACAUUGAAAUAAACUUAAUAUAACAUAAAUAAUAGUAUAAAAUAUCUACAACUUUAUUAAUAAUCGUCUUUACUGUCUCUUAUAAAUAAUAAUAAUGGCCUGUGAAAUACACUUUAUAAUGACUUAGUGGAAUGGAUAGAAUUCAACACCAUUAACAAAUAUAUCAAUAGCCUGGAUGCCUCGUUGAAGAAACUCUCAU